rnacentral:rRNA from 1 species
ACUCCCAGGGGCACGAAGCCACCCGGUGGAUGGCUCGGCUCGAGCGCCGAAGAAGGGCGCGGCAAGCAGCGAUAUGCCCGGGGUAGGCGCAAGCAGCCUUUGAACCCGGGAUUCCCUAAUGGGACCUCCUGCCCCUUUGGGGCGUACCCGACCUGAAUAAGGUUCGGGUACGGGAACCCCCCGAACGGAAACAUCUUAGUAGGGGGAGGAGGAGAAAUCAAACCGAGAUCCCCUGAGUAGGGGCGACCGAAAGGGGGAGAGCCCAAACCAAACCUGCCGGCGAUAAGUCGGUGGGGAUGUGGUGUUGCUGACCCUUGGUCUGGGAUUCGAUCCCAGCCCCCCUGGCCCAUCUAGCCGAACUCCCCUGGAAUGGGGGGCCAUAGAGGGUGAUAGCCCCGUAGGCUAAAGAUGGGUGGGGGGUGGCCAAGGGUAGAGUACCAUCCCCUGGUUUGGGGGUGGGAAGCUAGGGGACAUGCGCCUCUAAGGCUAAAUACGUCUCGAGGCCGAUAGCGUACUAAGUACCGUGAGGGAAAGCUGAAAAGAACCCCGGAAGGGGUGUGAAAAGAGCCUGAAACCGGGUGGUCACACAGGGUAGGGCUCGAAAGGAAUGAAGCCUCCCGAAGGAAAGGGGUGUAAGCCCUGAGUACGAGGGAGGUGGACCGGAGUCCUACCUUUCGUCUUGAAACACGGGCCGGGGAGUCCAUGCCAGUGGCGAGCCUAAGGGGUUUAACCCCGAAGGCGUAGGGAAACCGAGUGCCCGCAACCCGGGAAACCGGGUGAGGGGCAGGGUCCGCCAGGGCCUGGAGUCACUGGCAUGGGACUAGAAACCGGGCGAUCUAGACCAGGGCAGGCCGAAGGCGGGGGAAACCCCGCUGGAGGGCCGAAUAGGGGUUCUGACGUGCAAUUCGUUCCCCUGACCCUGGUCUAGGGGCAAAAGACCAAUCUAGCCCGGUGAUAGCUAGUUCCCCCCGAAAUGUGCCCUAACACAGCCUCCCUGGAGGCUACCUACGGGGUAGAGUUACAGAUUGGGGGUCCAGGGCGUAAGCUCUGGACUUCCAGUCUAACUCCGAACCCGUAGGCGCCGAAGAAGGGGGGAGUGGGUCCCUCGCCGUAAGGGUGGGGGGCAAGAGGGAAACAACCCUGACCCGGGUUAAGGCCCCAAAAUGCCGGCUAAGUGCGUCUGAAGGGCGUCUCCAGCCUUAGACAGCGGGAAGGUGGGCCCAGCAGCAGCCAUCCUCUAAGGAGUGCGUAACAGCUCACCCGCCGAGGCUGGAGGCCCCUAAGACUGGUCGGGGCUCAAGCCGGCUGCCGAGACCCGGGUAGUGGGCCUCACUGAGGCUCACUAGGUAGGGGGGCGCUGCGGUAGGGCAGAAGGCGGGCCGUGAGGUCCGCUGGACCUACCGCAGGUGCCGAUCCCGGCGGCAGUAACAGCGAAGGAGGGUGAGAAUCCCUCCCGCCGGAAGGGCCAGGGUUUCCCGGCAAUGGUCGUCAGCCGGGAGUGAGCCGGUCCUAAGGCGGGGCCUAACUGGUACCCGCCGAAAGGGAAAGGGGUUAAUAUUCCCCUGCCUGGUGGGUAGGUGCGGCAACGCAAGCCGGGCUCCUGACAGGUCAGGAUAGGGGGAGUGGAGCCACCGCUCCACCCAAGUACUGAAACCCCCGGAGAGCCGUAAUGGCGAGAAGGGGGUGAAAGUGCGAUGGGCCCCUUAUGGGGUUCCCCUGAUUCCUGGCCUCCAUGAAAAGGGAGCCCGGAACGAUCCCACCAGACCGUACCGAGAACCGACACAGGUGCCCCUGGGUGAGAAGCCCAAGGCGGCUGGGGGGUAACCCAGGCUAGGGAACUCGGCAAAUUAGCCCCGUAACUUCGGGAGAAGGGGUGCCUACCAUGGUCGUAAACCGGCCAUGGUAGGUCGCAGUGACAAGGGGGACCUGACUGUUUAAUAAAAACAUAGGUCCCCGCAAGCCCGUAAGGGUGUGUACGGGGGCUAAAUCCUGGCCACUGGCGGUAGGUGAAACCCGGGUUCAACCGGGCGAAGCCCCGCUGAAGGCCGGGGGUAACUCUGACCCUCUUAAGGUAGCCAAAUGCCUUGCCGGGCAAGUUCCGGCGCGCAUGAAUGGAUCAACGCGGUCCCCGCUGUCCCAGCCUGGGGCCCCGUGAACGCCCAGAGUGGGUGCACAGUCCCGCAACUCCCCACACCGAGAGAAGACCCCGUGGAGCUUCACCGCAGCCUGGCAUUGCCUGUCGGGCGCUCAUGCGUAGAGUAGGUGGGAGGGGUCGAACCCAUCCUUUCGGGGAUGGGGGACCCGAAGGUGAAACACCACCCAUGAGUGCCCGAUGGGCUAACCCCCGAAAGGGGGAACAGUGUCAGGUGGGCGGUUCGGCUGGGGCGGCACUCCCGCGAAAAGAUAACACGGGAGCCCAAAGGUCGGCUCAGGCGGUACAGAACGCCGCCGUAGAGUGCAAGGGCAAAAGCCGGCCUGACGAGGCCCUUCAAAGUACGGGGCCUCGACGCGAAAGCGCGGCCUAGCGAACGCUCGUGUCCCCACGUAUGGGGGCCGGGCAUGACAGAAAAGUUACCCCGGGGAUAACAGGGUCGUCGCGGGCGAGAGCUCCCAUCGACCCCGCGGUUUGCCUCAUCGAUGUCGGCUCUUCCCACCCUGGGGGUGCAGCAGCCCCCAAGGGUAGGGCUGCCCGCCCGUUAAAGGGGAACGUGAGCUGGGUUUAGACCGUCGCGAGACAGGUCGGACUCUAAGGGUGGGGAGUGCAGGCCGCCUGAGGGGAAGGCACUCCUAGUACGAGAGGAACAGGGUGCCGGGACCUCUAGUCUACCGGUUGUCCGGUAGGGCAAAGCCGGGCAGCCACGUCCUGAGGGCUAACCGCUGAAAGCAUCUAAGCGGGAAGCCCUCCCCGAAAAGAGGCGGCCAUGCGGGUUUAUCCCGCGGGAGCCCUCCUCUAGAAGAGGGGGUUGAUGGGGCGGGGGUGUAAGCUCCGAGGGCGUAAGCCCGAGGAGUUUAGCCCGCCGCUCCCAAUCGGGCGAGCCACCUGGUAGU